rnacentral:rRNA from 1 species
CCUACGGGAGGCAGCAGUGAGGAAUAUUGGUCAAUGGACGAGAGUCUGAACCAGCCAAGUAGCGUGAAGGAUGACUGCCCUAUGGGUUGUAAACUUCUUUUAUAUGGGAAUAAAAUGUUCCACGUGUGGGAUUUUGUAUGUACCAUAUGAAUAAGGAUCGGCUAACUCCGUGCCAGCAGCCGCGGUAAUAAGGAGGAUCCGAGCGUUAUCAGGAUUUAUUGGGUUUAAAGGGAGCGUAGGUGGAUUGUUAAGUCAGUUGUGAAAGUUUGCGGCUCAACCGUAAAAUUGCAGUUGAAACUGGCAGUCUUGAGUACAGUAGAGGUGGGCGGAAUUCGUGGUGUAGCGGUGAAAUGCUUAGAUAUCACGAAGAACUCCGAUUGCGAAGGCAGUUCACUGGACUGCAACUGACACUGAGGCUCGAAAGUGUGGGUAUCAAACAGGAUUAGAUACCCGGGUAGUC